rnacentral:ncRNA from 2 species
AGAGGAAGUCGGUGCGAAUCCGGCGCGGUCCCGCCACUGUCACCGGGGAGUACCCCCCACACGGAAGUCACGGCCCCUGACCGGGCUGGAAGGCCGGGGGGUGCGGGGAUCCGGGAGCCAGGAGACUC